rnacentral:rRNA from 1 species
AGCAGCCGCGGUAAUUCCAGCUCCAAUAGCGUAUAUUAAAGUUGUUGCAGUUAAAAAGCUCGUAGUUGAAUUUCGGGGUUAGUAGGUUGGUCAUGCCUCUGGUAUGUACUGGUCUCACUGAUUCCUCCUUCCUGAUGAGCCGUAAUGCCAUUAAUUUGGUGUUGCGGGGAAUUUGGACUGUUACUUUGAAAAAUUAGAGUGUUUAAAGCAAGCUAACGCUUGAAUACAUUAGCAUGGAAUAAUGAAAUAGGACGUUCGAUCCUAUUUUGUUGGUUUCUAGGAUUGACGUAAUGAUUAAUAGGGAUAGUUGGGGGCAUUAGUAUUCAAUUGUCAGAGGUGAAAUUCUUGGAUUUAUUGAAGACUAACUACUGCGAAAGCAUUUGCCAAGGAUGUUUUCAUUAAUCAAGAACGAAAGUUAGGGGAUCGAAGACGAUCAGAUACCGUCGUAGUCUUAACCAUAAACUAUGCCGACUAGGGAUCGGGUGAUGUUAAUUUUUUAAUGUACUCAUUCGGCGCCUUA